ACUCCGGACGCACUCAGGCUUGAGGACAGUGCUGGAAAGCCUGACCGCGACUCGGUGUUUAGAAAGCUCAAUUUAGGGCUGGGCUUGGCACGUUUCACAUCUGUCUGACGGAGGGUUCUUCGUGUACUGGGCAGUCCUAACUCGCAGCCGCGCGUCAUCACCCGCAUUUCAUAGAUGAAAAAACUGAGUCUCGGGAAACUCACUCAAGGUCAAAAACUUUGUGAGGAGCAGAGCUCAUAAGAGCCCGCGGUCUCCAGAACCCCACAACAACAUCUGAAAAUAUGAGAGCAGCCGCCUCACCCGCAACAGGGGGAGCCCCUCCUGCCACCAGGGGACCGUCGCCGCCCCUCGCGAGAAGCUGCAGGCGUGGGGGGAGGCGAGGCAGGAUGGCUCGGUGGGCGGUGCCCGGGGCGGGGUCGGCCGUGCCUGGGCGGGGCCGGGUGGGAGGGGCAGUGCAUAAGGCCGGGAUGCGGGGCAGGGCCCGGCGGUGGGAGGACGGACUAAGGGGAGGUCCCCGUCCUGGGCCACGGGGCGAUGGCGCGGGUAGGAC